UACAGGGGGUGCAAACGUUGCUCGGAAUCAUUGGGCGUAAAGCGCACGUAGGCGGUCUGUUAUGUCGGAUGUCGAAAGCCCUUGGCUCAACUGAGGAAGUGCAUCCGAAACUGGCAGGCUAGAGUACUAAAGAGGAUCGCGGAAUUCCCGGUGUAGAGGUGAAAUUCGUAGAUAUCGGGAGGAACACCGGUGGCGAAGGCGGCGAUCUGGGUAGAUACUGACGCUGAGGUGCGAAAGCGUGGGGAGCA
rnacentral:rRNA from 1 species